rnacentral:rRNA from 1 species
AACGGACGAGAAGCUUGCUUCUCUGAUGUUAGCGGCGGACGGGUGAGUAACACGUGGAUAACCUACCUAUAAGACUGGGAUAACUUCGGGAAACCGGAGCUAAUACCGGAUAAUAUUUUGAACCGCAUGGUUCAAAAGUGAAAGACGGUCUUGCUGUCACUUAUAGAUGGAUCCGCGCUGCAUUAGCUAGUUGGUAAGGUAACGGCUUACCAAGGCAACGAUGCAUAGCCGACCUGAGAGGGUGAUCGGCCACACUGGAACUGAGACACGGUCCAGACUCCUACGGGAGGCAGCAGUAGGGAAUCUUCCGCAAUGGGCGAAAGCCUGACGGAGCAACGCCGCGUGAGUGAUGAAGGUCUUCGGAUCGUAAAACUCUGUUAUUAGGGAAGAACAUAUGUGUAAGUAACUGUGCACAUCUUGACGGUACCUAAUCAGAAAGCCACGGCUAACUACGUGCCAGCAGCCGCGGUAAUACGUAGGUGGCAAGCGUUAUCCGGAAUUAUUGGGCGUAAAGCGCGCGUAGGCGGUUUUUUAAGUCUGAUGUGAAAGCCCACGGCUCAACCGUGGAGGGUCAUUGGAAACUGGAAAACUUGAGUGCAGAAGAGGAAAGUGGAAUUCCAUGUGUAGCGGUGAAAUGCGCAGAGAUAUGGAGGAACACCAGUGGCGAAGG